AUACGUAGGUGACAAGCGUUAUCCGGAUUUACUGGGUGUAAAGGGCGUGUAGGCGGUUUAGCAAGUCAGAAGUGAAAUUCCCGGGCUUAACUUGGGCGCUGCUUCCGAAACUGCUUUACUUGAGUGCUGGAGAGGAUAGUGGAAUUCCUAGUGUAGCGGUAAAAUGCGCAGAUAUUAGGAGGAACACCGGUGGCGAAGGCGGCUAUCUGGACAGUAACUGACGCUGAGGCGCGAAAGCGCGGGGAGCAAACAGGAUUAGAUUCCCUGGUAGUCCGUGCCGUAAACGAUGAAUACUAGGUGUAGGGGGUAUCGACUCCCUCUGUGCCGCAGUUAACACAUUAAGUAUUCCGCCUGGGGAGUACGGCCGCAAGGUUGAAACUCAAAGGAAUUGACGGGG
rnacentral:rRNA from 1 species